AAAGCGCGCGUAGGUGGUUUGUUAAGUUGGAUGUGAAAUCCCCGGGCUCAACCUGGGAACUGCAUUCAAAACUGACUGACUAGAGUAUGGUAGAGGGUGGUGGAAUUUCCUGUGUAGCGGUGAAAUGCGUAGAUAUAGGAAGGAACACCAGUGGCGAAGGCGACCACCUGGACUAAUACUGACACUGAGGUGCGAAAGCGUGGGGAGCAAACAGGAUUAGAUACCCUUGU
rnacentral:rRNA from 1 species